UGCAGGUAACAGGAGCCUUAAACAGUAAAGCAGUAUGUCAAGUGCAUUACCUGUUAAAAAGCAUCAAAGAGCUGUAAGAGAAAAUCACAGUGGAAGCUAACAUUUAUUGAAUUUUUCAGGCCCUGUGCUGAGCAUAUCACUUGAAUGAUCUCAAUUAAUCCUCACAACAAUCCUCUGAGGUGGGUUGACUAUGGCUAUUUGAUUUUUACAAAUGAAGAAACUGAGAUGCAGUUAAGCUAAGUGACUUGCCCAGGAUCCUACUGCUAGUAAGUAAAGGUGGGAUCUGGUAACAUUCAUGUAGGUCAAUGGACUUGGUAUUUGAAAUUCUUCAAAAUGCUUUGAAAUUAAAUUUACACUUAAUUGCAUAUUUUGUGAAAUGUGCUCUUGAAUUAAUCAAGUGGGAAAAUGCUCUUAACUCUUGUUUCAGGCUGGAGGGAAUUUGCUGUGAUCUGACAUAAGUCCUAUGGUCCAGAAAGGACAUGUGGCAGGCUGUAGAUGACAACUAAGUGGCUGACGGUAGAGUCAACUCCAGAAGGCAGAGCUGGAACGCUACACAGGGACGCGUUGCUCUAAACAAGAAGGAACUACAGGGAGGUUCCGAGGAGCACCAUCCCACCCACGCCUGUCACAUCUGCUGCUUUCCUACUGGGUGUUUGUAGGCAUGGAGUGUGUGUGCUGGCUCUGGUUGGUGCCUGAGCCAGCCCUGGACGUCGCAGCACACGGGACAAGACACUUUCUUCCCCACCCCCUCCACUUUCCUCAUCUCCUCCAGGAGGCCAUAACCAGCUGCCACAGCCACCGCACCCUCAGCCGAGUUUCCAGGAACCAAGUGGCUGUACCCAGUGCCCCCCGGCAAGCUGACAGAUCGGAAAACAGACCAAAAGAUGACUCCAGAGAAAAUUCACUGCGUCAGAACAACUCUGCGGCCCUCAGCCCCAGCCCCUUCUGCUUCUAUUUCUACAGCUUAUGCAGUAGGUAUUCCAGCUGUCUGUCACCUGCAGGGGGAGGAUGUCACACAUGCGCAGUGAUAACGCCCUGAUGCUUCUUUGGAAAGGAUCUCCAUAGACAUGUGUGCCAAACACAGGAUCUCACUAAGUCACUAAAUUGUCUAGACUGGGCUUGAACUUUCAAUCCUCCUGUGUCAGCCUCCCAGAGUGCAGGGAUUACAGGCCCAACCUCAGUGUCACAUCAUCUAUGUGGUGGCCCUAGUCACUCACAGCAUACAUGAAGCACUCUCUUCUCCAUGCUGCCUGGUACUCCUGUGGCACUUGUACUAUGGGGAUAUGUAUUGCUCUGUGUGACUUCUUUGGCUUCAGAACUGCAUGAAGACAAGGACUGGCAUGUGGUAGGUAAAUAAUAGAUAUUUUUAGAAUAGAGUUUAGAAUAGAGUUACUGAAUCAUUUCUGGUCUGCAUCCAGCAUCAUUUUUCUACCUCUACCAACUAACAAUGCCCAAUAGGUGGAGUCAAAUCAGACCCCAGCCCUUCAAAGCAGAAACUGAAUGCCAUAACUCCAUUGCCAGGUUUGAGUCCCUUGCAAUAGCUAGAACCAUUUUGCUUCCCAGAUUUUCUCUUUUCUACUCUUCCUCUUUCUUGUGUUUCCCCAGAGGCGAAGAUGAGAACAAAGCCUCCAUAAUGCACCCUGCUGACGAUCCCUGACUUAAAUGGUUCAGUGUUUAUGAUGCUGAGAAAGAGGUUCACAUUCAGUAGCAAACAGACUUCCAGUUUUGAAUUUUGAUCUUUUCUCACAUAAGAAAUACUCAGCAAGAUACUGCCUUUGGAUGUUAAGCAAUCAGCCACUCAACUUCAAGCAUAGAGAGCUGAUACUGUGUACCAUGUUCUUCAACUAUGAUGCUCAGUAGGUUUGGGUGAUUAAAUGCUUUUUCUGUGUAUGAUAUUUUCAAUUUAAGAUUGAUUAAUCAGAACUUAAAGAACAUCUGUAUUUCAAAAGGUUUAUCUGCUAAAAUAUGUUUUUGUAGGGAUGCAAUUAAGCUUUAUUUUAUAUAUCUGCCCCAGCAAUGUCUAGCCCUUCUAGCUGCUACAGAUUUCAGGCUUAUUCUCAUGAGCAAUGUCCCCUACUCGGGAUAUUUCUUUCUCAUUCCCCUGCUCUCAAAAUCCUACAGGACCUCCUAUGUGGCAAGGUCCUACCCUCAGCAAUCAGAAAUAUAUAUUUAUGGUGGGAAGGGAAGGGGAAAGGGAAGAAGGGAAAGGAAAAAUUAGGAGAAAAGAAAAAAAAAGCAAACGAAAUCUAUGUAAAUAGGGAAGGGUGGAGGGGGUGAAGGGUGCACAGGUAAUGUGGAGAAAAAUAAGAACCAAGAUAUAUCAUGUACAGGUACAAGCACCCAGUGAUAAAUGUAAACGUAUUGUAUACCUAAAAUAUACCAAUAAAAGAAUUAUAAAAAAGAAAUAUAUGUUUAUAGUAAUGCUAAUAGCUUAUAAGGUAUUAUCUAUCUUGUUGGGAUUUGCUAACCAAAUGGGAAGAAAUGAGCACAUUAACUGAGAGAAUUCAACAGUUCUUUAGAGUCUGAUUCAUGG
ensembl:lncRNA